rnacentral:rRNA from 1 species
CCUACGGGUGGCAGCAGUGAGGAAUAUUGGUCAAUGGGCGCUAGCCUGAACCAGCCAAGUAGCGUGAAGGAUGACUGCCCUAUGGGUUGUAAACUUCUUUUAUAUGGGAAUAAAGUGCAGUAUGUAUACUGCUUUGCAUGUACCUUAUGAAUAAGGAUCGGCUAACUCCGUGCCAGCAGCCGCGGUAAUACGGAGGAUCCGAGCGUUGUCCGGAUUUACUGGGUGUAAAGGGCGUGCAGCCGGGAAGACAAGUCAGAUGUGAAAUCCCGCGGCUCAACCGCGGAACUGCAUUUGAAACUGUUUUUCUUGAGUACCGGAGAGGUCAUCGGAAUUCCUUGUGUAGCGGUGAAAUGCGUAGAUAUAAGGAAGAACACCAGUGGCGAAGGCGGAUGACUGGACGGCAACUGACGGUGAGGCGCGAAAGCGUGGGGAGCAAACAGGAUUAGAUACCCGGGUAGUC